rnacentral:rRNA from 1 species
UACGAAGGGGGCUAGCGUUGUUCGGAUUUACUGGGCGUAAAGCGCACGUAGGCGGAUCGUUAAGUCAGGGGUGAAAUCCUGGAGCUCAACUCCAGAACUGCCUUUGAUACUGGCGAUCUUGAGUCCGGAAGAGGUGAGUGGAACUCCUAGUGUAGAGGUGGAAUUCGUAGAUAUUCGGAGGAACACCAGUGGCGAAGGCGGCUCACUGGUCCGGUACUGACGCUGAGGUGCGAAAGCGUGGGGAGCAAACAGG